AAAUAGCCUCGCGCAGAAUUCAGCCGUACCUAAAAGGUUAAUAGAAAACGCCGGUGGCUCCAUCUCGUAUUUAUCAAACAGCUAUACAUCUCCGGGCAAUACCAUUUUUGUAACGUAAUCUGUAUGACCAAAUACCGAUCUGCUGAAUCCGUAAAGUCAAUAAUACACAUGCACGGUGCUGUUGCUGAAACUGUAAAUCUAUCAGUAUUUAUUAUUUUAUUAUUGAGUGGCGUUUUCACAAGCUGAGGUUCGUCUUUCGACCGCCGACGAUGCUCAGAUAGAUAUUCUUCAAAUUUUACAACAUUGAUUGCAACGUAAAGUAACAUUUGUACGAACCUUAAGUCUAGGAUAUUGCAUUGUGUAUUAACCAUAAAUUUGUAAAUAAGUAAAUCAACCUCUAUAAAGUGUGUACUUUGUGGUGUUAGGACUAGACAGAAGUGUGUUGUGUAGAAAUUUGACUUUUCAUAGUUUUGAUUGUUUAGAAUAUGUUUAACAAAUCAUUCAUAUAUAUUUUGACUACAAAAUGUUCUACACAAUUUGUUAUCAAUUGAUGUUUUCACUAAUUUGAAUGGCAAAUUCAAGAAGGUGCUUGGAAUUCAUAAUUUCAUCGAAACAUAUCUAACCAAGAAGUCUACUGUUUCUUACACGAUAUUCGUCGGAACUAACAGCAAAGUUCUUCAAGUACAUUUUCUUGAAAAAACUAUAUGCGUGUACCAUGAAAUAUUCAGUUUAGAGUUAAAACUAUUAUGGUCAAUGAUAACAGUGGAACUUAUCGAAUACAAAAUUGUAUAUUAAAAAAGUGGUAAAUUUUAUAAUGAUUCAGCCAUAUUAAAGAUAUAUACAAAUAGUCUUAUAAUCGUUCUACAUGCAA